rnacentral:rRNA from 1 species
UACGUAGGUGGCAAGCGUUAUCCGGAUUUACUGGGUGUAAAGGGCGUGUAGGCGGGAGUGCAAGUCAGAUGUGAAAACCACGGGCUCAACCUGUGGCCUGCAUUUGAAACUGUACCUCUUGAGUACUGGAGAGGAGAGUGGAAUUCCAUGUGUAGCGGUGAAAUGCGUAGAUAUAUGGAGGAACACCGGUGGCGAAAGCGGCUCUCUGGCCUGUAACUGACACUGAGGCUUGAAAGCGUGGGGAGCAAACAGG